CCGAGAGCUGAAGCUGGUGGCCCCUAGUGAGUUUCUCAGUAGGCAGGACAACUCCAGGUCACCAGCCAAG
rnacentral:miRNA from 1 species